UUGUCUCUCGUGUUUCCCUGUGUGCUUUUGUUUGUGUUGUGGCUGUGUAGUUCCGGAUCUAGGUAAGUUUUGAAUCCAUGGAUCCAUGGUUCAUCUGUUCUUGAUGUUGUCCGUGGAUCCGUGGUAGGUGCAUGUUGCUGCCGUGUUUGUUUCUAGUCCGCCAUGCCUAGCGCUCCAUUUCCCAUCCUUCUGCUCGCCUGAGUUAUGUAGGAGCUUGUUGUAUGUGGGGGUUCUAAUCCAUCUGCUUGUUGUGGUCACAUUCUCCCAUGCUUGUAGAUGUGGAGGUAGGCGUAGGUUGUUUAUUCUGAUGUAGAUAUAGAGGUAGGGGAAGUUAUAGUUGCAGCGGUGGUUAGCCCUAUCAAUUUUUUUCUGCCGGCCUGGGUGUCUGUUCCUUUGUCAUUAGAUGUAGUUGCAGAUGAUCUAGCCUGAUUUCUGCCUGCUUAUGCAGUUUAGUUGUAUUUGUUGUUAGCUGCUGAUGUUUGAUGUUGUAGUCCCUGGAAUUCAUUAUGAUUUUUUGUGUUAGAUGUAGGUGUUCAUUUCCCCCGGUACCUGAAUCUCUCUGAAUUUGUGUGUACUAGGCUGCAGUGUUGUUGUAGUGUCAGUCCAGGAAUCUCUCUGAAUUGCAUGCUUCUUUACAGUGUAUUUUUACUUCAGACUUGAAGUGUAACUUACCCCUAGAAUUACAGUGUAUCCCCAUCCAGAAUUGCUGUGUAAUUUAACCCAUAAUUACAGUGUAACUUACCCCAUAAUUGUAGUGCAUUUACAGUGUAUCCUGAUGCUUCUUUAUUGGUUGUUACUCUGGAAUUUGUCCUAGUAGUACUGUGUAUUUCCCCCUAAUUACAGUGUAAUCCCGAUGCUUCUUUCUUCAGUGUGAAUUUUGCUAUAAUUAUUGUGUAAUAUGUCCGUAGAAUUACACUGUAGGUUACCCUGCAAUUACAGUGCAAUAUACCGUAAUUACCGUGUGUUUUUGUGCUUUUUUAUUUGUAAUUACUGUGUAAUUUGUCCUAGAAUUACUGUAUAAUAUUUCCCCCCAUUACAUUGUAAUUCUCAUGUGUCGUAGAAUCACACUGUAGGUUAGCCUGCAAUUACAGUGUAAUAUACCAUAAUUACAUUGUUUUUUUCGUGCUUCUUUAUUUUGUAAUUAUUGUGUAAUUUCCCCUAGAAUUACCCCCAUUACAGUGUAAUUAUCAUGCUUCUUUCAGUGUAAAUUGCAGUGUAUAUUUUUUCAGUGUAAUACUGCGCCAGUUUCUUUGUUAUUUACAUUGUAUUUUUUCUCAGAUGUUUUGCAUGCAUUCAUGUGGUUUUGCACUGUAAUAUCCCCCAUUCUUACUAUAUAAUUUAUCUUCAGUUUUUGGCAGUGUACUCCCUCUACCUUUUCAUUGUAAGUUGCCCUAAUUAUUGUGUAUUUUUACUCAGAGUUUCACUGUAUUUAGGUUGGUUUUACACUGUAUUUAAGUGAUUCUUCCACUGUAUUAAUAUGCCCCCAUUACUCUAUAAUUCCCCUGAUUGCUGCCUUUCAAUGUAUUAUUUGUUGUGAGAUUUCCCUUGUAAUUGAGCCCCAUUACCCUAUAAUUUUCAGCUUUCUUUUAUUUUCUUUCGUGUGUCAUGUAUUAUGUUUUGUUAGGUUUAGGUCAAUGGGGAGACUACGGGAAGUCUCUCACAAUGAUGUUUUGGUAGUUUCUUCUAUUGAGAGGGCUGAUUCUUUGAAUGAUCCUUUUGUGCCUAAUGACUUUGUGGAAGAUGGUUCUAAUGCUAUGUCUUUGGUAGUUAUUUUUGUCUUGUUCUCUACUUUCAUUUUUGUUUUUAUUCUUUCUUCCAGUUUAUUAAAAUUUCUAUUUGUUGACUGAAUUAUUUUUUAGGAUCUUUCUAGUGAUGAUAGGGGUUUUGAUAAACUAUUUUCAAUUUCUAUGUGAAUCAUGUGAGUCUUUCUGAUCUAGUUACAACUAAUGACUUAUCUUUUUUAUUCACAAGAAUUACAAUGUAAUUUAGCCUAAAAUUACAGUGUAGUAUGCCCCUAGUAUUACAGUGUAAUGUAUCCAAAAAUUUCAUUGCAAUCCCCAUGCUUCCUUUAUGUAAUUGUAGUGUAAUAUACCCUAGAAUUGCAGUGUAAUUUAGCCCAGGUUUUAGUGUAAUCCCAAUGCUUCAUUUUUUUAAAUGACAGUGUAAUUUUCCCAGGAUUACAGUGUAAUUUUCCUAGAAUUACAGUGUAAACUCCAUGCUUCAUUUAUGUAAUUACAGUGUAAUUUUCUCCAUAAUUACAGUGUAAACUUCAUGCUUUAUUUAUGUAAUUAUAUUGUAAUUAUUCCCCGAAUUGCAGUGUAAAUUUUCCUAGAAAUUCAGUGUAAUUUUUCUUCUUCUAAACAAAGUAGUGUAAUUUUCCCGAUGAACCUCUAUAUUAUUUGAUAUUUGGGCUUCAUUCUUGUUCAGAUUUGCUUGAAUUACAGUGGAUUUUAACUCUGCUUUGUGUGAUUAUCCUUGUGUAGUCUCUUGGUUAUUAUCAUUGUAAUCCACUAGUGUGAUUAUUCAUUUCCUUCACUGUCCAUGUGUACCAGCACUGUAACAAGCUCUACUUUUGAUUGUCAAUAUUAAUGCAUUCAUCUGAUAGGACUUGUGUUCUUUAUGCCGAUAGGUCUGUCUUUGUAUUCAUGACUUCAUAUGAACUUGCAUGUAUCUCUGUACUUAUUCUGUUCAGCUUUUGCUUGAAUUUCCGGUGGAUUUUAACUCUUUGAAUUACAGUGUAAUACCUCUUAAUUUCUCUGUAAUUUCCACUAUAUUUGUAGUGUAAUAUUCCCCAGGAUUACAUUGUAAUAUACAUACCCCAAAUUUAUAUUGUAAUAUCCCCCAGAAUCACAUUGUAAUUCUGAAUUGUAUUAAAUAAUACUGGAAUACGGUGUAAUAUUCCCCCAGUUUGCAUUGUAUGUCAUGUAGGUAUUACACUGAAAUUCAUCUCAUUUUUCCAUGAAUGUCAUGAGUUGUCUAACUCUGUAAUUUCCCCUGAGUUCAUGUUAGCUACAUUGCCAUGUAUCGCAGCAAAGAUUUUUUCAUGUGUACUACAACACAGCUUUUUUCAUGUAAUUUCCUCAUGGUUCAUGUUACCUACAUUGCCCUAUACUGCAGCAAAGUUUUUUUUUCAUGUGUACGUUACACUGGAAUUCGUGUUGGUGUAGUGUUUUGACAGUGAAAUAUUAACAGUUUUAACUUCCGACAGUUAGAAUUUUUCCCCUGACGAUUCCAAAAUUCUCACUAGAUUGUAUGAUGGUUUUUUUGCAGGCUAGUUCAUGUAGCAGGUGUAUGUAGAGCAGCAGGGUGAGGAAAAACAUGGAAGAGUUCAAUAGAAGUGUGAUCAAAAGGAGUAGGACAUUUCGUGAGCUGUGGACCGUCUCUUGGAUGAUCUUCCUUUGUCCACCACCAAUUAUUCAGAUCUGUUCUUCCCCCUUGCUUCUCUCCAGGUACUUGCCCCUCUGAUGUGCCUCUCUGACUUGUUUUUGUUCUUCCUUCUUCUCACUCCCUCUCUCCCAUGACGUCUCUCUGAUGUUUUUCUACUCUUUCUUCUCAUUUCCCCUCUCCCAUGGGCCAUGGCGCCUCCCAGAUAACUUGUGUGAUGCAAGUUAAAGGAGGGUCCUGGGAGACGCCAGUAUUCUGAUGAUUUUUGUUCCUUUUCUUUGUCAGGUGAUUUGUUGUCCAGGAAAGGAAAAAAGAGCGUGGCAACGGUCCAGGAGGGUUUGGUGAUAGUUGCCUUGUUUUGUUUCGGUUAUUAGUUAGAACUGGGUCAGAUUUUAGCCACACGACCCCUUUUUUGGAAAUACAAGCAUACAAUUGUCCAUGGUAUUUGGACAUAGGUGUCAGCACUUGAUUUAUCAGGAAAUUUGACUAUAAUAUAGUGCUUUUUACCUUUGUAUUGGUUCUCCGUUAUUUAACAUGUUUACCCCCGACCCGGGUUUGAUGUUUACCCCCGACCUGUUUAGGCGUUCUUUUUUGCUUUCUGUUGAUUUUUCUGCUCAUACAAGUGUAAUGUGUUGAUUGGUCAAAAAAUUUGACUGUUUUCGAAUUGAAAAACAGUCAAAUGUCAAAUAGACAGUCCCUUUAUUUUUGGACAAAUGAAAGUCAAGUAUUAUGAAGCGAAGAGAGUAGUUGUUAGGAAACCCUGGCGGCAAGCUGCCGCCGAGGCGGAGCUGUGGAUGCUCUCCAGGGCUUCAGGGCUGACUCGCAUCCCGCGAUAGUUAGCUUUGCGUGUGUCGUCCGGGCGCUGUCAUGUUUCUUGCGUCUCAUCAUGUGUGUCCGGGCAUG
rnacentral:lncRNA from 1 species